ACCAGCACGCCCCCCUCUCGGACACGGAGAACAACAAAGAUUUGUGGUGGGUCUGCUGUACGCGCGCGCACACGCCCGCCCCGCCAGAUUCGCCCUUAUCUCAUUCAUUCGCCUACCAUAUUUCUGGUGACGGCCACAACGGGUUUCUUUGCAAGCCGCCGGUUGUGCCAGGGUGUCGCCAAAGAACCGCGUUUACUGGCGGCAAACUGUGAUGUUUCUAAUUAUCAAACGCUUUAUGACAUCGCUGUCGUGCGGAGAACGGCCGCCGUUUGAUUGGCAAGCGUCGCCGGUAAGAGCGUUGCCGCGGUGACGUGCGUCAAGCUGUUCCGACAAUGGGCGGCAGAAUCUUUAGAGGACAGCGAGAAGAGGAGAAAUUCAAACAGACCCUUAAGAACCGGCCGAAGAGAUGAGGGACAAGUUUAAGAGGGUCGUUUACCGCCGGCAAGCAUCGCAUGUAAAGGUGGCACCAUCGCAGGAGAGUUUAAUCAUCGCUGGGCCGUCCAGAGUGUUCUGCUGCUCUGAAUAUUUAUUUUCACCAUGUGACUGAUGGAUGAAACUCGUAAUUAGCACCAAAGGGACAACUCUGAAUUUAAUGCUGAAAU